rnacentral:rRNA from 1 species
CCUACGGGAGGCAGCAGUGAGGAAUAUUGGACAAUGGGUGAGAGCCUGAUCCAGCCAUCCCGCGUGCAGGAAGACGGCCUUAUGGGUUGUAAACUGCUUUUAUACAGGAAUAAACCAUCUUACGAGUAGGGUGUUGAAGGUACUGUAUGAAUAAGCACCGGCUAACUCCGUGCCAGCAGCCGCGGUAAU